UGCGUAGGCGGCAAAUUAAGUCAGCUGUUAAAUUUCCUGGCCUAACCAGGAACAUGCGGUCGAUACUGAUGUGCUAGAGGAUGGAAGAGAGAAGUGGAAUUCUCGGAGUAGCGGUAAAAUGCGUAGAUCUCGAGAGGAACACCGAUGGCGAAGGCAGCUUCUUGGUCCAUAUCUGACGCUGAGUGCACGAGAGCGUGGGGAGCAAACA
rnacentral:rRNA from 1 species